rnacentral:rRNA from 1 species
AUUGAACGCUGGCGGCAGGCUUAACACAUGCAAGUCGAGCGGAGAUGAGGUGCUUGCACCUUAUCUUAGCGGCGGACGGGUGAGUAAUGCUUAGGAAUCUGCCUAUUAGUGGGGGACAACAUUCCGAAAGGAAUGCUAAUACCGCAUACGUCCUACGGGAGAAAGCAGGGGAUCUUCGGACCUUGCGCUAAUAGAUGAGCCUAAGUCGGAUUAGCUAGUUGGUGGGGUAAAGGCCUACCAAGGCGACGAUCUGUAGCGGGUCUGAGAGGAUGAUCCGACACACUGGGACUGAGACACGGCACAGACUCCUGCGGGAGGCAGCAGUGGGGAAUAUUGGACAAUGGGGGGAACCCUGAUCCAGCCAUGCCGCGUGUGUGAAGAAGGCCUUAUGGUUGUAAAGCACUUUAAGCGAGGAGGAGGCUACUGAGACUAAUACUCUUGGAUAGUGGACGUUACUCGCAGAAUAAGCACCGGCUAACUCUGUGCCAGCCGCCGCCGUAAGAC